GUGGGCGUGCUGGAAUUGUUAUCGGGCAUGACUAGAAAUUAUGUGGGCUUUAUCCGCGUAGGUUUGAAUCUUGCUGCUCAUG
rnacentral:tRNA from 1 species